rnacentral:rRNA from 1 species
AGUGAACGCUGGCGGUAGGCCUAACACAUGCAAGUCGAACGGCAGCACAGUAAGAGCUUGCUCUUACGGGUGGCGAGUGGCGGACGGGUGAGGAAUACAUCGGAAUCUACUUUUUCGUGGGGGAUAACGUAGGGAAACUUACGCUAAUACCGCAUACGAACUACGGGUGAAAGCAGGGGAUCUUCGGACCUUGCGCGAUUGAAUGAGCCGAUGUCGGAUUAGCUAGUUGGCGGGGUAAAGGCCCACCAAGGCGACGAUCCGUAGCUGGUCUGAGAGGAUGAUCAGCCACACUGGAACUGAGACACGGUCCAGACUCCUACGGGAGGCAGCAGUGGGGAAUAUUGGACAAUGGGCGCAAGCCUGAUCCAGCCAUACCGCGUGGGUGAAGAAGGCCUUCGGGUUGUAAAGCCCUUUUGUUGGGAAAGAAAAGCAGCAGGUUAAUACCCCGCUGUUCUGACGGUACCCAAAGAAUAAGCACCGGCUAACUUCGU